rnacentral:lncRNA from 10 species
AAGAUACUGUUGCCCCAAGUAGAUAUCAUAAUUUGUUACAAUAAGUAAAAAUGUAUAUUAUUCAAUACUAAACUGUUAUACCACAUUUCAAGUUUUUAAAACUUUAUCUUCCUUUUAUGCAUAGAUAGUAGUAGAGCAUUAAGAACAUGCAUGGCUAUCACCUGAGGUGUUGAUUGUAAAUUCACAUUCCUAGGCUUUGUCUCUUAACUACUGAAUCGGAAUCUUUGGGAGUGAACUGACAGGAAUCUGAAUUUUAAAAAUAAGGUCUUCAGGUGAUUCUCAUGCAUCUAAAGAUAACUGCUUUAAUAUAUAACAAAGAAACCCAAAGAGGGACACUUGAGGAUUUUUUCAAUAUAUCUUCUUUUGCAGAGAUUAAUAGUGAAUGUUGUUUUAUCUGCUGUUUAGAAUUUUACAUAUGCAUUGGAUGAUACAUCUUCUUUUACUGACAAAAAGGCUUUUCUCUGGAGAAAAUAAAAAGGCAGCUUUCCCUGAGAGCACACACUUCUAGCAAAGCCCCAAUCCAUAUGACUCUAAGACAGAGUGAUUUCCACCUUCUAGUCCUUACUUUCUUGCAAAAGGGGCUUUCAAAUCUCAUUACUGAUGGUCCCAUCUUUUAUUACUGGUGUUAUCAAUGGGAUGCUUGCAGCAGCUUAAGUAUGUGGAUAAAGAAGGAAUGCACAAUAUACGGUACUGAAUAUUUUUAAAAAGUGGUCUUUCAGAAUGUCUGUAUGUGUGGGGGCCCAUGCUUAGGCAUAUGUGCAUGCCAGUGUGUUAUUUAUGUUGAAACCAAUGUUUUACAUUAAUGGCUGGAAUUCCAGAAAAAUAAGAAAAUAUUUGUAUUUUCUAAACCAUUAAAAGUUUAGUGGAACUCA